rnacentral:rRNA from 1 species
AUUGAACGCUGGCGGCAGGCUUAACACAUGCAAGUCGAACGAGUGGCGGACGGGUGAGUAAUGUCUGGGAAACUGCCUGAUGGAGGGGGAUAACUACUGGAAACGGUAGCUAAUACCGCAUACCAUCAGAUGUGCCCAGAGGGGAUUAGCUAGUAGGUGGGGUAACGGCUCACAUAGGCGACGAUCCCUAGCUGGUCUGAGAGGAUGACCAGCCACACUGGGACUGAGACACGGUCCAGACACCUACGGGAGGCAGCAGUGGGGAAUAUUGCACAAAGGGCGCAAGCCUGAUGCAGCCAUGCCGCGUUUAUGAAGAAGGCCUUCGGGUUGUAAAGUACUUUCAGCGGGGAGGCGUUACCCGCAGAAGAAGCACCGGCUAACUCCGUGCCAGCAGCCGCGGUAAUAC